GGGCAGGUAGUCAAGCAUGGUAUAAAACUUAGUGAACAACUAAGAGUGCCAAAGAUACUUGGUUCGGGUCCAAGUGGCCGCCGGUUCAAUAAGGGUGAGUUGUCUGCUCCUCUUGAACAAAUCCGGUCCUGCCCACCA
rnacentral:tRNA from 1 species